UAGGGAAUCUUCGGCAAUGGACGGAAGUCUGACCGAGCAACGCCGCGUGAGUGAAGAAGGUUUUCGGAUCGUAAAGCUCUGUUGUAAGAGAAGAACGAGUGUGAGAGUGGAAAGUUCACACUGUGACGGUAUCUUACCAGAAAGGGACGGCUAACUACGUGCCAGCAGCCGCGGUAAUACGUAGGUCCCGAGCGUUGUCCGGAUUUAUUGGGCGUAAAGCGAGCGCAGGCGGUUAGAUAAGUCUGAAGUUAAAGGCUGUGGCUUAACCAUAGUAGGCUUUGGAAACUGUUUAACUUGAGUGCAAGAGGGGAGAGUGGAAUUCCAUGUGUAGCGGUGAAAUGCGUAGAUAUAUGGAGGAACACCGGUGGCGAAAGCGGCUCUCUGGCUUGUAACUGACGCUGAGGCUCGAAAGCGUGGGGAGCAAACAGGAUUAGAUACCCUGGUAGUCCACGCUGUAAACGAUGAGUGCUAGGUGUUAGACCCUUUCCGGGGUUUAGUGCCGUAGCUAACGCAUUAAGCACUCCGCCUGGGGGAGUACGACCGCGGUUGA
rnacentral:rRNA from 1 species